rnacentral:pre_miRNA from 1 species
AAACAGCCCCCUAUGUUUCUUUGGCAGUUUAGGACCGCCAAGGCAAAAAAAAAAAAAAAAAAAAAAUUGACACAUGGCACCUCACUUAGGGUGCCACGUCAGUGUUGACCGAGUCAACAAUGGACUGGGGGUUCAAAACUGCCAAAGAAUCAAAACAUAGGGGACUGUUU